rnacentral:rRNA from 1 species
AAGUCGGUUGUGAAAGCCUUCCGCUCAACGGAAGAACGGCAUCCGAUACUGCAUGGCUUGAGCGUGGGAGGGGAGAGUGGAACUUCUGGUGGAGCGGUGAAAUGCGUAGAUAUCAGAAGGAACACCGGCGGCGAAGGCGACUCUCUGGUCCAUAACUGACGCUGAGUGUGCGAAAGCUAGGGGAGCAAACGGGAUUAGAUACCCCGGUAGUCCUAGCCGUAAACGAU